GUCCAGUUGCCUUGUGAAAAAGUAUCUUUGGGACAACUAUGACUUGGAUCACUGAGAAUCUCCAUAGACACUUUGAGUUAGUAGGUAAUAUUUCUUUAGGUUCUAGCCAUUACCCCAUCUGUUUGCUCAAAUAGAGUCUAUGAUUCAACCACAAUUUCAGCUAAGAAACAGUAAACAUUUUAGAUCAAGUUAGGUCUUAAAUUACAAGAGAAUUUCUAGAAGAUUGGUCAUCUGACAGAACUAAAUCAAUAGAUACAAAGAAAUAAGCCCCAUUUAUGAACCAUUCCAAAGGAACAAGAACAGGUCAAAGAAAGAGGCACUCCAGAACACACAUUCACUUAUUGUACAUCCAUUAACCAAAUCCUAGGUAAGCAGAAACCAUCACCUGAUUAGAACAAUAGCCAUCAAUCAACAUAGUCUGUCCAAACCCACAUAAGACUGGUAGUACAAGUGGCUAUAUAAAAAACACCAACAAAACUUGCUUCCCAUGCCAGAACACUGAUGGUGUGACCUUGUCUGGUAAUGAAAUGUCUGUCAGAAGAAAAUCUAAGACAUGAUCUAUCAAAGAUCUCUUGAAUAUGGUAUUCUGGAUUCUCAAAAUUCAUUUUUGAUUAAUUCCUUAAUGUUUCAGCCUGGUCAUCAAUAUUUCUGAUACUGUAAUGUAGAAUGAAGGAUACUGGAAGCUAUGAUCAGCCAAGGCAAACAUGGGUAUUUGUGGUGAGCACUGAAUGAAGAAAAAAGAAUAUGCUAUAUUAUACAAAAGAACUCAAUAAUAUUAUGCUACACAUUAAACAAAGCUGUCAUGUUUUUAAGGUAAGAAAGGUUGAAAAAGCUCAAACUAAAGGUAUUGGGAAAACUAUAGGAAUGACAUGAUUUCAUUUCCUUGAACCUAGCCAAAUUUUGUUAUAGUACCUGUACAAUUAAUCAUACCUGGGUUGGCCAUGAAUGCAACUACCAAAUGCAAUAUCCUUAUUCUGUUGUGUUGUUAUUUUAUUUUUAAUGUGUUUUAUUUUAAGACUGGUCUAUGACUAAUAUAAUAGACUAAUAUAAUUCUCUUUCUGUUUUUCUCUAGGAAUAACAUGCCAGAUAUAAGACAUUAAAAUCUCUGAGCUAUGAAUGAAACAUUUGAUGCUGUUUGUAAUGUCACAAGACGAACUGAAAAUUAUUCCUUGUGCUGCCACUGGUCUGAUUUAUGCUGUUUAAGAAUAUCAGUUUCUGCAGAGAGAGAUCAGAAAGACAAAUGAGGAGAGCUGCAUUAUUAUGUUUACAGCAUGGUGAACCAUAUGAAAUACAUCGGAGAUCACAGCAGCAAACUGAUCAUUGUGACUACAAAUUCAGAUUUUUAUGGUAACAGAUUGUUAUGGUAAGCAUGUGUUUUGUAAAAUAAUUCUUUUCCUAGACUAUUAAUUUUUAUGAUUAAAUUAAAUUAUCCUUGAGUGGCUUCAUUCAUAUAGAAUUAGAAAUGCUCAAAGAGAGAAAACAAUGAGGAGAAAGACAAAGGGAGAAGGGGUGAGCGUCAAAGGAAUAGCAUAACAUAAUGGCAAGUAAGGAAUGGAGCCUAGAAUUCUUCAAAAUGUCCAGAGCUAUCUCCUUUUAACAAGAUUAUCUGCAUCAUUUUUCUUUCUUUCUUUCUUCUUGUUUUUUUUUUUUUUUUUGAUAGACUAUCUGCCAAGCCAGUCUUCAUUACAGAGGAUUGGGCCAAACUGUGCAUUACAGAUGGAAUUUUUUUGCCACAAGGAAUGCUCUUUGGAGCCAAGCUGCUUGAGGUCCAAUCUAAGCCCAUAAAACCAAAAUGUAAUUUAGUGCAAGACUGAAAUAUUUAUAUACUUUGCAUCAGUAAAAAAAAUAAUCAAGCAUUAUUAUUGCAUAUGGGCCAGUGUUGCACUUCUGUCUGAAGAUGAUUACCCAAUUAAUAUACAAUCCACAAUGAUUUGCUGCAUUAUUCUGCAGAAUCUUCAAAUGGAGUUUUCUAAGUUGGUUUGUGAGUGGUCUAACUUGUCUCUCAAUACUUGCCUAAAACCUAAGUGGUAACAAGAUGUGACAGGGCAGAUCAAUUGUAAAACUCUUAGAUUUUGCUUUGUUCUUAGUUAACAUACUUGCAGAGGGCAAACCAUUAUUUGGACAAGAGAGAAAAUCCUUUUUCCUAUGUAGUUUUCCAAUUCAAGUCCAAAACACUGAAAUUGUCUUUGAUUGGACCCAUUUUUUAAAGUUUUUUUUUAAAGAAUCUAUGAAAAUUGCAUAAAAAUGAUCCCUGUUACUGAAGGUACUAAAAUCAUGCUUUAUUUUAUUGAAUUACUGAUUUGGUCCCUUGCUAUCUGUCACUUUACCUGCAUUUUCUUUACCUUUGUAAUUUUGCUUAUGAGGCAAAAUUUUGAAGCAACUGUAUUUAAGUCAAAAGAAUUCUUCUUUCAAAACUGCAUCUUAAGGCCUGGACCAACAUUUAUUUUUUUAUUGAAGAUUCCAAGGUUUUGGAUUAUUGUUACCAAACAAUCUUUUGCUUGUAGAAUGAAUUGGACAAUGUGCUUUCACCUUUUCACAGUCACUUGCAAAUGAAAUAACUCCUAUGCCACUCUGGAAAUAUAUACAUUGAACUGAAUGCAGUCUUUGACACAGACAAAGAUAUAGGGAGAUAAGCACAUAGAAAUAUGUGGGCAAAAGUAUCAAUAAAUCCUGUUAGGAACACAAUUUCUUAAUGCAGAGUCAUGAUCCAAGGAAAGGGUGAAAGAACAUGGUUUUGGAACCUUGCUUGGUAAUAUUUGAAAAUUCACUUUUUUUUCUGACAUUCUUUUUGUUCCCCUCUGACAACCUUUUUUUCUCUUCAGCAAGUUACCAGGUAGAUUUUGGCAGAGCUCUGAGCUGCUUGCUCUCAAAGAGCAAUUGAAAGUAAUGAGGGCUUCAUUUGAUCUUAGGGCUGCACAUCCUUGACAUAAAUGAAUAUUCUUUGGGCUGUAAUAAUUAUUUUUCAGAGAUGAAAUCAAAAUCCUUAAAGCAAAGACACACAAUGUAUAGUACAAAAUGAGAUUCCUUAUAUGUGGCAUUUUCUGAUUUCUGGAUUUAAUACUGGACUGUAUGGGCUUGUGGUAUUCUCUGAAGUGACAAAAUUGAAGAGGGAGUAAAAGAACAAGGAAACAGAAGCAAGAUUCCCAGGUCCCCAGAGCAUAGUCUCUGUGUCAAUACGUCUGCGUGCUGGGGAAAUUUUCCAUACUGAAAAAAGACAAUUUAAUAGCCUCAAGAGUUUUGCAGUGAUCCACCAGAAUGUGAUUUUUAAGACUUUUGCAGAGUUGCUACAAGUGAGAUCCUGUGAAGCGGACAUACGUUAUGCAAGUCACUAUGAGAAAGGUCAGUUAAUAAGCCUGAAAAAAUCCAUCUGUUCUGACAAAGUGCAUGAACUUAGAUUAACCAGCCCACUUAUAUAAAUAUUUUUGGAAACACUUGUGGAAAAUAAAGUGAGAUUUCUAUUUAA